GGGCUUAUAAUAGCUGGCAUUGAUUUCUCUUUUAAGCCAUUGAGUUGGGGAUAAAUCGACGUCAGGGGAAGUGUUGUUGGGAAUAAGCUAUAUUGAUUGAGAUUUAGAUUAUAUAUAUUUUAUGCUCCUGGUUAUGACUCAAGAGGCUCAAAAGCUGAGGACUCAAUCUCGAUCUGUAGUUGGAUCUGCUCCCUUCGUUGCGGGGCAAUGGAUGAAUCUGGAGAUCUAUCUCGAUAAAGAUCUAAAACGAAUGCGAGAAGAUGAAGGAAUGGGAACGAAAUCCUUAUAGGGGACUAGUUAACUGGUGGAGUCAGUCAACGGGUGAAACUGAAACUGGAAAAGACACUGGUUCAAGGUCAUUAGUCUGGUCAACAAGCUAUCGAUCUGUAACUGGACGAAGUCAAGAAUAAAUGGGCUAUCUGUUAUAAAGUUCGGAACGAUGGUUCUCUGACUCAGUAAUUCUUUUGUUUCACAAAAUGAGUUAUAUAGGGCGAGUCGACUUUCACUCUGAUAGGGCAAUUCAUUCUACUAUAACCAAGUGGGUUUGGCAAAGCCAAAAUAUGUGACAGGAAAGGUCGUUUAGAGAAUAUAGAAUAUGGAGAGUAUAGAGAUUUCAGCUUUUCUACUUAGCUCUACAGAAAUGGAAAGCCCUAUGCAGCAGUUUAUGAUUUUCAACCUAACAGGGACAGACAGAGGCAUUGACAUAUCAAAAUAGUUUGUUUUGUCUUCUUUCCCUUUGAGCAGAUCAGAGCUGAUGACAAGAGAGAAACCAGUUGAUUAAAUUAGGGUGCCCGGGGCAUGCGCUCUAACUUUGAUAGUUGCACGAAAAAGGGUAAAGCUCGACUCAACUUAACGC
rnacentral:lncRNA from 1 species